CGCCGCCUGCUCGUCCGCCUCUAUAAGAUGAGACCUGCCCACCGCCAUGGCGCCAUCCCCUCCGUCUCUGACCCGCCUACCCAUCCCCACCAUUUGCCGCCCAAUCCGCCCCGCCGCGCUCCGCCUUGCCUCGACUCGAAUUCUUACCAACCGUUUGUGGCUUGAAUUUGAAUUCCAGCUCGAAUCACUCAGGCGGCCAGCCGGGAGCGAGAGCGAGCUGGAGGAGCUCGAUUCGAUGCGUUGCUGAGCGUGGGUCAAUCGAUUCGGGUCGGGCGGUGGCGCAGUCCGAGAGAUCUGAACCCUAGCGGCCGUCUGCCCGUCCGGAUCUGUGACCAGCCCUGCUCGGUGCUUCGGCGGCAUGAGUGCCUGGAAGGCGUGGGGAGGAGAAGCGGCGGAGAUAUGAGCGGAGGAGGCAGCGGCAGCGGGGACGAGUUCGGGCGGGCGGUGGCACGCGCCGCGGUUGCGCAGGCGCUGGAGGCCGCGGGGUUCGACUGCGCGCACCGCUCCGCGGUGGACGCGGUCGUCGACGUCCUCUUGCGCUACAUCACCCACCUGGGCCGGUCCGCCGCCUUCAACGCCAACCUCGCCGGCCGCGCGCUCGCCAACGAACUCGACGUCAUCCAGGUGCUCGAGGAGGUCGGCGCCGACACGGACGGCUUCGCGGGCGCGGCGGACACGGGCCGCUGCCUCGUUGGUUCCGGCGUCGUCAGGGACCUCAUGGCGUUCGUCGACUCCAAGGACGAGGUGCCGUUCGCGCGGCCGCUGCCUAGGUUCCCCGUCCAGCGCGUGCAGCCGCAGCCCUCUGCCAGCCCGGCUGCGGCGGCGGCGGGGAGGGAGACUGGGUUGAAGCACGUGCCGGAGUGGCUGCCUGCGUUCCCGGAUCCGCACACCUAUGUGAGCACGGAGGUGUGGGAUGAGCCUUCGGCGACCAAGGACAGGGUGGACAAGGUGGAGCAGGUGCGGCAACGGAGGAAGGCCGAGAAAUCCCUGCUCAGCUUGCAGCGAAGGCUGGCUAUGGCAGGCGCGGAUGGGUUUCAUCCAGCGGUUGCAUUGGCGGAGGAUAGCGCAGAGAAGGGGAAGGAGAUACAGGCAGCUGGGACAAAGAGAAACCCGUUUCUUGAGCCAGCAUUGCCGCCUGGGGAGAAGGAUGUAUCUGAGGUUGGUAUGCCUCCGGAAAAGAAGAAACUAUCUGUCCUCGAGGCAUUUGCGCCAGCUAUGCAAUCUAGAACCAUCGUCAGGGAUGUUGAUGCUGGGGCAGGAUUGGAUGAAAACCAAAGGAGCAUUGUUCCCAAAGAGAGGGCUCCGGUGCACCUUAAGAUUGGAUUUGGAAAGAAGCCGUUGGCAGCAGCUCUGAAUUCAAGAACCCUGGACCUGAGAGAAGAUCCAUCCUUCUUGAAAGAGGAAGCAAAGGAUGACAAGAAGCGGAGAGCAGGCAUGAUAUUAAGGGCAUCAAUGGAGAACCCACAAGAGCUUCCUCAGCUCUAAAGUUGUUUGCGGAGGAAGUGCCGUACCCAGAGUGGAGUUGCAUCAUGGUGUAAUUGUGGAACUUCAGUUUCCAGAAUCUUGAGGCCAUGUUCCCUGAUACAACCUUCUCAGGAUCACCAUGCCCUGAUACAACCUGCACCGGACUCUCCUGCCUCCACCUACCGUUUUCCUAAAACACCAUGCGCUGAUAGAUUCUGCAGCACUGUAACUGAAGUUGGAAGUUCCACCAUCUCACUGCGUUGAAGUUGGUGGUUGUGCUGGUAUUUCACCUUUAACUGUAAGGACUAAUUUGGGAACCCAAUUUUUCCACUGGAUUUUCAUUUUCCUAAGGAAAAUUAGUUCAUUUUCCCU